UACGGCCAUAUCAUAUUGAAAUACCGAUUCUCGUACGAUCACCGAAGUUAAGCAACUUCGAGCACGGUCAGUACUUUCAUAGGUGACUGCUUGGGAAUACCAGGUGUGGUAA